rnacentral:rRNA from 1 species
AGAGUUUGAUCCUGGCUCAGGAUGAACGCUAGCUACAGGCUUAACACAUGCAAGUCGAGGGGCAGCGGGAUUGAAGCUUGCUUCAAUUGCCGGCGACCGGCGCACGGGUGAGUAACGCGUAUCCAACCUUCCGUACACUCAGGGAUAGCCUUUCGAAAGAAAGAUUAAUACCUGAUGGUAUGAUGAGAUUGCAUGAUAGCAUCAUUAAAGAUUUAUCGGUGUACGAUGGGGAUGCGUUCCAUUAGGUAGUAGGCGGGGUAACGGCCCACCUAGCCAACGAUGGAUAGGGGUUCUGAGAGGAAGGUCCCCCACAUUGGAACUGAGACACGGUCCAAACUCCUACGGGAGGCAGCAGUGAGGAAUAUUGGUCAAUGGACGAGAGUCUGAACCAGCCAAGUAGCGUGAAGGAUGAAGGUCCUACGGAUUGUAAACUUCUUUUAUAAGGGAAUAAACCCUCCCACGUGUGGGAGCUUGUAUGUACCUUAUGAAUAAGCAUCGGCUAACUCCGUGCCAGCAGCCGCGGUAAUACGGAGGAUGCGAGCGUUAUCCGGAUUUAUUGGGUUUAAAGGGAGCGCAGACGGGAGAUUAAGUCAGUUGUGAAAGUUUGCGGCUCAACCGUAAAAUUGCAGUUGAUACUGGCAGUCUUGAGUGCAGUAGAGGUGGGCGGAAUUCGUGGUGUAGCGGUGAAAUGCUUAGAUAUCACGAAGAACUCCGAUUGCGAAGGCAGCACACUAAUCCGUAACUGACGUUCAUGCUCGAAAGUGUGGGUAUCAAACAGGAUUAGAUACCCUGGUAGUCCACACGGUAAACGAUGGAUACUCGCUGUUGGCGAUAUACUGUCAGCGGCUUAGCGAAAGCGUUAAGUAUCCCACCUGGGGAGUACGCCGGCAACGGUGAAACUCAAAGGAAUUGACGGGGGCCCG